CUUUGAUGGAUAUGAGUUAUCUGCAUUCAGAGAACAAAGCCAUGCUUUCCUAUGUUUGUCACUUCAUAAUGUUUACCGCCAUAUUUUGAAGAGAUAGAAGCAUUUCCAGCCGUGCUUUCAACAUUUUACAGCCUGUGGAGGAUUUUCCCUGUUACAUACAGAGCUAACGCACCACCCACCAUCUCU